rnacentral:rRNA from 1 species
UGAGAUGGCCUCGCGUCCGAUUAGCUGGUUGGUGAGGUAACGGCCCACCAAGGCGACGAUCGGUAGCCGGACUGAGAGGUUGAACGGCCACAUUGGGACUGAGACACGGCCCAGACUCCUACGGGAGGCAGCAGUGGGGAAUAUUGCACAAUGGGGGAAACCCUGAUGCAGCGACGCCGCGUGGAGGAAGAAGGUCUUCGGAUUGUAAACUCCUGUUGUUGGGGAAAAGAAGGAUGGUACCCAACAAGGAAGUGACGGCUAACUACGUGCCAGCAGCCGCGGUAAAACGUAGGUCACGAGCGUUGUCCGGAAUUACUGGGUGUAAAGGGAGCGCAGGCGGGUAUGCAAGUUGGGAGUGAAAUACAUGGGCUCAACCCAUGAACUGCUCUCAAAACUGUGUAUCUUGAGUAGUGCAGAGGUAGGCGGAAUUCCCGGUGUAGCGGUGGAAUGCGUAGAUAUCGGGAGGAACACCAGUGGCGAAGGCGGCCUACUGGGCACCAACUGACGCUGAGGCUCGAAAGUGUGGGUAGCAAACAGGAUUAGAUACCCUGGUAGUCCACACCGUAAACGAUGAUUACUAGGUGUUGGAGGAUAGACCCCUUCAGUGCCGCAGU